CCUACGGGAGGCAGCAGUGGGGGAUAUUGCACAAUGGGGGAAACCCUGAUGCAGCGACGCCGCGUGAGUGAAGAAGUAUUUCGGUAUGUACAGCUCUAUCAGCAGGGAAGAAAAUGACAGUACCUGACCAAGAAGCCCCGGCUAACUACGUGCCAGCAGCCGCGGUAAUACGUAGGGGGCAAGCGUUAUCCGGAUUUACUGGGUGUAAAGGGAGCGUAGACGGUUAUGUAAGUCUGGAGUGAAAGCCCGGGGCCCAACCCCGGGACUGCUUUGGAAACUGUGUAACUGGAGUACAGGAGGGGCAGGCGGAAUUCCUGGUGUAGCGGUGAAAUGCGUAGAUAUCACGAAGAACUCCGAUUGCGAAGGCAGCCUGCUGGACUGUAACUGACGCUGAUGCUCGAAAGUGUGGGUAUCAAACAGGAUUAGAUACCCGUGUAGUC
rnacentral:rRNA from 1 species